UUUACGGAGAGUUUGAUCCUGGCUCAGGACGAACGCUGGCGGCGUGCUUAACACAUGCAAGUCGAACGAUGAAGCCCAGCUUGCUGGGUGGAUUAGUGGCGAACGGGUGAGUAACACGUGAGCAACGUGCCCGAAACUCUGGAAUAACUACCGGAAACGGUGGCUAAUACUGGAUAUGUGCCAGGGAGGCAUCUCCUCUGGUUGGAAAGAUUUUUCGGUUUCGGAUCGGCUCACGGCCUAUCAGCUUGUUGGCGGGGUAAAGGCCCACCAAGGCGACGACGGGUAGCCGGCCUGAGAGGGUGACCGGCCACACUGGGACUGAGACACGGCCCAGACUCCUACGGGAGGCAGCAGUGGGGAAUAUUGCACAAUGGGCGCAAGCCUGAUGCAGCAACGCCGCGUGAGGGAUGACGGCCUUCGGGUUGUAAACCUCUUUUAGUAGGGAAGAAGCGAAAGUGACGGUACCUGCAGAAAAAGCACCGGCUAACUACGUGCCAGCAGCCGCGGUAAUACGUAGGGUGCAAGCGUUGUCCGGAAUUAUUGGGCGUAAAGAGCUCGUAGGCGGUUUGUCGCGUCUGCUGUGAAAUCCCGAGGCUCAACCUCGGGCCUGCAGUGGGUACGGGCAGACUUGAGUGCGGUAGGGGAGAUUGGAAUUCCUGGUGUAGCGGUGGAAUGCGCAGAUAUCAGGAGGAACACCGAUGGCGAAGGCAGAUCUCUGGGCCGUUACUGACGCUGAGGAGCGAAAGCAUGGGGAGCGAACAGGAUUAGAUACCCUGGUAGUCCAUGCCGUAAACGUUGGGCGCUAGAUGUGGGGACCAUUCCACGGUUUCUGUGUCGUAGCUAACGCAUUAAGCGCCCCGCCUGGGGAGUACGGCCGCAAGGCUAAAACUCAAAGGAAUUGACGGGGGCCCGCACAAGCGGCGGAGCAUGCGGAUUAAUUCGAUGCAACGCGAAGAACCUUACCAAGGCUUGACAUAUACCGGAAACUUCCAGAGAUGGUUGCCCUGCUUGCAGUCGGUAUACAGGUGGUGCAUGGUUGUCGUCAGCUCGUGUCGUGAGAUGUUCGGUUAAGUCCGGCAACGAGCGCAACCCUCGUCCUAUGUUGCCAGCACGUUAUGGUGGGAACUCAUGGGAUACUGCCGUGGUCAACACGGAGGAAGGUGGGGAUGACGUCAAAUCAUCAUGCCCCUUAUGUCUUGGGCUUCACGCAUGCUACAAUGGCCGGUACAAUGGGCUGCGAUACCGCGAGGUGGAGCGAAUCCCAAAAAGCCGGUCUCAGUUCGGAUUGGGGUCUGCAACUCGACCCCAUGAAGUCGGAGUCGCUAGUAAUCGCAGAUCAGCAACGCUGCGGUGAAUACGUUCCCGGGCCUUGUACACACCGCCCGUCAAGUCAUGAAAGUCGGUAACACCCGAAGCCGGUGGCCUAACCCUUGUGGAGGGAGCUGUCGAAGGUGGGAUCGGUGAUUAGGACUAAGUCGUAACAAGGUAGCCGUACCGGAAGGUGCGGCUGGAUCACCUCCUUU
rnacentral:rRNA from 1 species